CGAGUGGCGGACGGGGGAGUAAUGCGUAGGAAUCUACCUAGUUGAGUGGGAUAGCCUAGGGAAACUUAGGGUAAUACCGCAUAAGUCUUACGGGAGAAAGCAGGGGACUGUUAAAGGCCUUGCGCGAUUAGAUGAGCCUACGUCGGAUUAGCUUGUUGGUGGGGUAAAGGCCUACCAAGGCGAUGAUCCGUAGCUGGUCUGAGAGGACGACCAGCCACACUGGGACUGAGACACGGCCCAG
rnacentral:rRNA from 1 species